rnacentral:lncRNA from 1 species
UUUUUUUUUUUUUUUUUGGCGUGAAAAGUGUUUAAGUCGAGUCUAUAAAUAAUGAUUUGCCACAACUAAUGUAGAGAUAUAAACUAAUAAGAUCAAUCAAAACAGGGAUGAGAAGGAGUCCUCUUUGUUGACUGGACCAACCCACAAGCAGCAGAAGGUAUGGUAUGGUAUGGUGCGUUUUCAUUCUGUAUCUUUUUCCAGCCUUCCACAGCGGGAUGGAAUUUGAGUUGGUGAAUUGGGGGGGGGGGGGAGAGGUUGCUGUCAUUCAAUAAACUGUCUUCUAGACCAAACGGAAAACGGAGAAGAAGGAAAAGACGCGUCGUUGGAUUGGUACGAGCAGCAUUCUGCAUUCCUCAUUGAUAUCAUAACUUGACUUUAGAUUGCGACUGAAUUAAAUUAUCGAUAUCUGCUGUCAAAUUACUUGAAUUCCUUGAUUUGAUAGGAACGUAUGAUUCGUUCUCCAUGAUGAAGAAUUUAUGUUCAUCAGAUUCCCUGCAAGAUCCUUGGGACAAAAUUAAAAAUCCAAGAAAGUAAAGAAACAGGGGAACGAGAGCAGUCGCAUUUUUAUUGCAAGUCAUUCUUGACUUGUGAAUGUCACGACCAACAGACUAAGCAGGAAUCCUGUGAAAGAAAGGUUCUUGCUUUGAUGCUUUUGAACCUUUGUCACGGCGUCUGCCCCACGCAUUACAUUACACAACCAGAUGAGCUGUGUUUCAUGUGAAGAACUGAUGAUAGACUGGAGUUAGUUGCCAUAGAAAAUUUUCACUCCAAAGGUGGAAGGAAAACAAAUCUAAAACUGGAAAUCCGCAAAAUAACACUUAAAAACUUUAUUAUAGUAAACAAUUUUCAUUUUUAUUUUUCCCCUUUCUGAAACAGGUUUCUCUGGACAUGCUAAGGCAGUUGUCUUUAGUGAAAACAAGCAAGCUCUCUCUUAUGGGAAUCUCGACCACCUGGCUGGUAAGCAGG